GACGUCAAAUCAUCAUGCCCCUUAUGUCUUGGGCUGCACGCAUGCUACAAUGGCCGGUACAGAGGGCUGCAAUACCGUAAGGUGGAGCGAAUCCCAAAAAGCCGGUCUCAGUUCGGAUUGAGGUCUGCAACUCGACCUCAUGAAGUUGGAGUUGCUAGUAAUCGUAGAUCAGCAACGCUACGGUGAAUACGUUCCCGGGGCUUGUACACAGCCGCCCGUCACGUCACGAAAGUCGG
rnacentral:rRNA from 1 species